rnacentral:rRNA from 1 species
CUCUGUGACUCCUACGGGAGGCAGCAGUGGGGAAUAUUGCACAAUGGGCGCAAGCCUGAUGCAGCCAUGCCGCGUGUGUGAAGAAGGCCUUCGGGUUGUAAAGCACUUUCAGUUGUGAGGAAGGUGGUGUCGUUAAUAGCGGCAUCAUUUGACGUUAGCAACAGAAGAAGCACCGGCUAACUCCGUGCCAGCAGCCGCGGUAAUACGGAGGGUGCGAGCGUUAAUCGGAAUUACUGGGCGUAAAGCGCAUGCAGGUGGUUUGUUAAGUCAGAUGUGAAAGCCCGGGGCUUAACCUCGGAAUUGCAUUUGAAACUGGCAGGCUAGAGUCUUGUAGAGGGGGUAGAAUUUCAGGUGUAGCGGUGAAAUGCGUAGAGAUCUGAAGGAAUACCAGUGGCGAAGGCGGCCCCCUGGACAAAGACUGACGCUCAGAUGCGAAAGCGUGGGGAGCAAACAGGAUUAGAUACCCUGGUAG